rnacentral:rRNA from 1 species
GAUGAACGCUGGCGGCGUGCCUAAUACAUGCAAGUCGAGCGAACAGACGAGGAGCUUGCUCCUCUGACGUUAGCGGCGGACGGGUGAGUAACACGUGGAUAACCUACCUAUAAGACUGGGAUAACUUCGGGAAACCGGAGCUAAUACCGGAUAACAUGUUGAACCGCAUGGUUCAACAGUGAAAGACGGUCUUGCUGUCACUUAUAGAUGGAUCCGCGCCGCAUUAGCUAGUCGGUAAGGUAACGGCUUACCAAGGCAACGAUGCGUAGCCGACCUGAGAGGGUGAUCGGCCACAAUGGAACUGAGACACGGUCCAGACUCCUACGGGAGGCAGCAGUAGGGAAUCUUCCGCAAUGGGCGAAAGCCUGACGGAGCAACGCCGCGUGAGUGAAGAAGGUCUUCGGAUCGUAAAACUCUGUUAUUAGGGAAGAACAAAUGUGUAAGUAACUAUGCACGUCUUGACGGUACCUAAUCAGAAAGCCACGGCUAACUACGUG